rnacentral:rRNA from 1 species
AGCGAACGUUAGCGGCAGGCUUAACACAUGCAAGUCGAGCGAGAACAGGGCUUCGGCCCCUAGUAAAGCGGCGGACGGGUGCGUAACACGUGGGUAAUCUGCCUUUUGGUUCGGGACAACUGUCCGAAAGGAUAGCUAAUACCGGAUAAGUCAGCGGGGGUAUACCUUGUUGGGAAAGAUGGCCUUUCCAUGGAAGCUAUCACCGAAAGAUGAGCCCGCGUCCCAUCAGCUAGUUGGCGAGGUAAUGGCUCACCAAGGCAUAGACGGGUAGCUGGUCUGAGAGGAUGAUCAGCCACACUGGAACUGAGACACGGUCCAGACUCCUACGGGAGGCAGCAGUGGGGAAUAUUGGGCAAUGGGGGAAACCCUGACCCAGCCAUGCCGCGUGAGUGAUGAAGGCCUUCGGGUCGUAAAGCUCUGUGGGGAGGGAAAAGACGAUGUCCCGUGAACAAUGGGUGUUGUGAUGGUACUCCUUAGCAAGCACCGGCUAACUCUGUGCCAGCAGCCGCGG